rnacentral:rRNA from 1 species
ACGCACGCUGGCGGCGUGCUUAACCCCUGCAAGUCGAACGGGAAGGCCCUGCUUUUGUGGGGUGCUCGAGUGGCGAACGGGUGAGUAACACGUGAGUAACCUGCCCUUGACUUUGGGAUAACUUCAGGAAACUGGGGCUAAUACCGGAUAGGAGCUCCUGCUGCAUGGUGGGGGUUGGAAAGUUUCGGCGGUUGGGGAUGGACUCGCGGCUUAUCAGCUUGUUGGUGGGGUAGUGGCUUACCAAGGCUUUGACGGGUAGCCGGCCUGAGAGGGUGACCGGCCACAUUGGGACUGAGAUACGGCCCAGACUCCUACGGGAGGCAGCAGUGGGGAAUAUUGCACAAUGGGCGGAAGCCUGAUGCAGCAACGCCGCGUGCGGGAUGACGGCCUUCGGGUUGUAAACCGCUUUCGCCUGUGACGAAGCGUGAGUGACGGUAAUGGGUAAAGAAGCACCGGCUAACUACGUG